rnacentral:rRNA from 1 species
AUGAACGCUAGCGGCAGGCCUAAUACAUGCAAGUCGAACGGUAAGGCUCCUUCGGGAGGACACGAGUGGCGCACGGGUGCGGAACGCGUAUGCAACCUACCUUGAACUGAGGGAUAGCCCAGAGAAAUCUGGAUUAAUACUUCAUACAAAUAUAAUUUGGCAUCAUUUUAUAUUUAAAGCUCCGUUGGUUUGAGAGGGGUAUGCGUGACAUUAGCUAGUUGGUGAGGUAACGGCCCACCAAGGCAACGAUGUCUAGGGGUUCUGAGAGGAUGAUCCCCCACACUGGUACUGAGACACGGACCAGACUCCUACGGGAGGCAGCAGUGAGGAAUAUUGCGCAAUGGAGGAAACUCUGACGCAGCCAUGCCGCGUGAAGGAAUGAAUCCCUAUGGGUUGUAAACUUCUUUUAUAUGGGAAGAAAUAUAGAUACGUGUAUUUAUUUGACGGUACCAUACGAAUAAGCACCGGCUAACUCCGUGCCAGCAGCCGCGGUAAUACGGAGGGUGCAAGCGUUAUCCGGAUUCAUUGGGUUUAAAGGGUACGUAGGCGGAUAGAUAAGUCAGUGGUGAAAGCCCGAAGCUCAACUUCGGAACUGCCAUUGAAACUGUUUAUCUUGAAUUUGGUUGAAGUGGGCGGAAUAUGACAUGUAGCGGUGAAAUGCAUAGAUAUGUCAUGGAACACCAAUAGUGAAGACAGCUCACUAAACCAAUAUUGACGCUGAGGUACGAAAGCAUGGGUAGCGAACAGGAUUAGAUACCCUGGUAGUCCAUGCCGUAAACGAUGAUUACUCGCUAUUGGGGGACCUGAUCCCUUAGUGGCGCAGCUAACGCGAUAAGUUGACCGCCUGGGGAGUACGGCCGCAAGGUUAAAACUCAAAUGAAUUGACGGGGGCCCGCACAAGCGGUGGAGCAUGUGGUUUAAUUCGAUGCAACGCGAAGAACCUUACCAGGUCUUGACAUCCUGCGAACUUUCUAGAGAUAGAUUGGUGCCUUCGGGAACGCAGUGACAGGUGCUGCAUGGCUGUCGUCAGCUCGUGUCGUGAGAUGUUGGGUUAAGUCCCGUAACGAGCGCAACCCUUGUCCUUAUUUGCCAGCACGUAAUGGUGGGAACUCUAAGGAGACUGCCGGUGACAAACCGGAGGAAGGUGGGGACGACGUCAAGUCAUCAUGGCCCUUACGACCUGGGCUACACACGUGCUACAAUGGCCGGUACAGAGGGCUGCAACCCCGCGAGGGUGAGCUAAUCCCACAAAACCGGUCGUAGUCCGGAUUGGAGUCUGCAACUCGACUCCAUGAAGUCGGAAUCGCUAGUAAUCGUGAAUCAGAAUGUCACGGUGAAUACGUUCCCGGGCCUUGUACACACCGCCC